UACAGAGGUGGCAAGCGUUGUUCGGAAUUACUGGGCGUAAAGGGCGAGUAGGUGGCCAUCUAAGUCAGACGUGAAAUCCCCCGGCUUAACCUGGGAACUGCGUCUGAUACUGGACGGCUUGAGUAUGGGAGAGGAACGUAGAAUUCCAGGUGUAGCGGUGAAAUGCGUAGAUAUCGGGAGGAACACCAGUGGCGAAGGCGACUACCUGGCCUGUUCUUGACGCUGAGACGCGAAAGCGUGGGGAGCAAACAGG
rnacentral:rRNA from 1 species